ACAAUGGUGUUUUUCAACACCACCAAGCAACUUCUCAGAAAGAUG
rfam:Picea glauca, whole genome shotgun sequence.